GUGGGGAAUAUUGGACAAUGGGCGAAAGCCUGAUCCAGCCAUGCCGCGUGUGUGAAGAAGGUCUUCGGAUUGUAAAGCACUUUAAGUUGGGAGGAAGGGCAGUAAGUUAAUACCUUGCUGUUUUGACGUUACCGACAGAAUAAGCACCGGCUAACUUCGUGCCAGCAGCCGCGGUAAUACGAAGGGUGCAAGCGUUAAUCGGAAUUACUGGGCGUACAGCGCGCGUAGGUGGUUUUGUAAGUUGGAGGUGAAAUCCCCGGGCUCAACCUGGGAACUGCCUCCAAAACUACUGGGCUAGAGUACGGUAGAGGGUAGUGGAAUUUCCUGUGUAGCGGUGAAAUGCGUAGAUAUAGGAAGGAACACCAGUGGCGAAGGCGACUACCUGGACUGAUACUGACACUGAGGUGCGAAAGCGUGGGGAGCAAACAGGAUUAGAAACCCUGGUAGUCC
rnacentral:rRNA from 1 species